rnacentral:rRNA from 1 species
GGCGAACGGGUGAGUAAUACAUCGGAACGUGCCCAAUCGUGGGGGAUAACGCAGCGAAAGCUGUGCUAAUACCGCAUACGAUCUACGGAUGAAAGCAGGGGAUCGCAAGACCUUGCGCGAAUGGAGCGGCCGAUGGCAGAUUAGGUAGUUGGUGAGGUAAAGGCUCACCAAGCCUUCGAUCUGUAGCUGGUCUGAGAGGACGACCAGCCACACUGGGACUGAGACACGGCCCAGACUCCUACGGGAGGCAGCAGUGGGGAAUUUUGGACAAUGGGCGCAAGCCUGAUCCAGCCAUGCCGCGUGCAGGAUGAAGGCCUUCGGGUUGUAAACUGCUUUUGUACGGAACGAAACGGCCUUUUCUAAUAAAGAGGGCUAAUGACGGUACCGUAAGAAUAAGCACCGGCUAACUACGUGCCAGCAGCCGCGGUAAUACGUAGGGUGCAAGCGUUAAUCGGAAUUACUGGGCGUAAAGCGUGCGCAGGCGGUUAUGUAAGACAGUUGUGAAAUCCCCGGGCUCAACCUGGGAACUGCAUCUGUGACUGCAUAGCUAGAGUACGGUAGAGGGGGAUGGAAUUCCGCGUGUAGCAGUGAAAUGCGUAGAUAUGCGGAGGAACACCGAUGGCGAAGGCAAUCCCCUGGACCUGUACUGACGCUCAUGCA